AUUGAACGCUAGCGGGAUGCUUUACACAUGCAAGUCGAACGGCAGCGCGGACUUCGGUCUGGCGGCGAGUGGCGAAUGGGUGAGUAAUGUAUCGGAACGUGCCCAGUAGCGGGGGAUAACUACGCGAAAGCGUAGCUAAUACCGCAUACGCCCUACGGGGGAAAGCAGGGGAUCGUAAGACCUUGCACUAUUGGAGCGGCCGAUAUCGGAUUAGCUAGUUGGUGAGGUAACGGCUCACCAAGGCGACGAUCCGUAGCUGGUUUGAGAGGACGACCAGCCACACUGGGACUGAGACACGGCCCAGACUCCUACGGGAGGCAGCAGUGGGGAAUUUUGGACAAUGGGGGCAACCCUGAUCCAGCCAUCCCGCGUGUGCGAUGAAGGCCUUCGGGUUGUAAAGCACUUUUGGCAGGAAAGAAACGUCGCGGGCUAAUACCCCGUGGAACUGACGGUACCUGCAGAAUAAGCACCGGCUAACUACGUG
rnacentral:rRNA from 1 species